GACGAACGCUGGCGGCGCGCUUAACACAUGCAAGUCGAACGGAAAGGCCUGCUUUCCCUUGUGGAUUGCGGGUACUCGGGUGGCGAACGGGUGAGUAACACGUGAGUGAUCUGCCCCCAACUUGGGUAUAAGCCUGGGAAACUGGGUCUAAUUCCCGAUAGGACUGCAGGGUGGUGCCUGUGGUGGAAAACGAUUUUCUAGUGGUUGGGGAUGAGCUCGCGGCCUAUCAGCUUGUUGGUGGGGUAAUGGCCUACCAAGGCGGCGACGGGUAGCCGGCCUGGGAGGGUGGACGGCCACAUUGGGACUGAGAUACGGCCCAGACUCCUACGGGAGGCAGCAGUGGGGAAUAUUGCACAAUGGGCGGAAGCCUGAUGCAGCGACGCCGCGUGGGGGAUGACGGCCUUCGGGUUGUAAACUCCUUUCGACCGCGAGGAAGCCACCUGGUUGGAAGGGUGGUGACGGUAGUGGUAGAAGAAGCACCGGCUAACUACGUG
rnacentral:rRNA from 1 species